rnacentral:rRNA from 1 species
AACGAACGCUGGCGGCAUGCCUAACACAUGCAAGUCGAACGAGACCUUCGGGUCUAGGGGCGCACGGGUGCGUAACGCGUGGGAACCUGCCCUUAGGUUCGGAAUAACUCCCCGAAAGGGGUGCUAAUACCGGAUAAUGUCUUCGGACCAAAGAUUUAUCGCCUUUGGAUGGGCCCGCGUUGGAUUAGCUAGUUGGUAGGGUAAAAGCCUACCAAGGCGACGAUCCAUAGCUGGGCUGAGAGGAUGAUCAGCCACCCUGGGACUGAGACACGGCCCAGACUCCUACGGGAGGCAGCAGUGGGGAAUAUUGGACAAUGGGCGAAAGCCUGAUCCAGCAAUGCCGCGUGAGUGAUGAAGGCCUUAGGGUUGUAAAGCUCUUUUACCCGGGAUGAUAAUGACAGUACCGGGAGAAUAAGCUCCGGCUAACUCCGUG